UGAUUUUUGUUACCAUGUUAACAUACUAAUACAUACUUUUCUUCUUUAAACAGCGGAUAUAGUGUCAAAUUUCAAUUAUUUAACAGUACUUCUAUAAUUGUGUGUAUAUGACAAUAAUAUAAGACGGUGGAUAUUGGCUCACUUUUUUUGUUUAGUUUUAUUUUUCUUUCAUUUGGCUAAAUUAUCUUUCGGUUUAUGUUGCUAUUAUAGGUUUAUUAGCUCUAAAAGUUGAUGGAGAGAACAUGGACCAAAGUCUAGAAAAUGCAUGGAUGGUUUGGGAUAAUCCUUGUUAACUGAAAGUUGCUAGAGACAAAGCCUAAGUAAAGCAAAGAGGAACAUGGUGGGGGUUUAUAACGAUAUUCAACGUUCAAGACAUCAGUCACCGAAAAUGGAAAAAUAGAAGCUAGGCAAAAAUGAAGGUGUACGAAAAAUGGAAUAAUUAAUUAUGCCCUUCUUGUAUUGUUGCUGAGUCGUUAGAUUUGUAUUCAACUCUUUUUAAGUUAGAAUAUGUAUUUUGUUUAAAGGCUUUUUAUUAAAUUGGCUUGUCAUAUAUUGAUAUUUGAAUUAGAAAUCUUUAUACAAUACGUAUAAUGUUUUUGAAAUUUUAACAUGAUAAAAUUUAUUG